rnacentral:rRNA from 1 species
AGCGAACGCUGGCGGCAGGCUUAACACAUGCAAGUCGAGCGGGUGUAGCAAUUCACCAGCGGCAGACGGGUGAGUAACGCGUGGGAACGUACCUUUUGGUUCGGAACAACCCAGGGAAACUUGGGCUAAUACCGGAUAAGCCCUUACGGGGAAAGAUUUAUCGCCGAAAGAUCGGCCCGCGUCUGAUUAGCUAGUUGGUG